rnacentral:rRNA from 1 species
AUACGUAGGUGACAAGCGUUAUCCGGAUUUACUGGGCGUAAAGGGCGUGUAGGCGGUCUUGCAAGUCAGAAGUGAAAUUCCUGAGCUCAACUCGGGCGCUGCUUCUGAAACUGCAGGACAUGAGUGCUGGAGGGGAUAGCGGAAUUCCUAGUGGAGCGGUAAAAUGCGCAGGUAUUAGGAAGAACACCGGUGGCGAAGGCGGAUAUCUGGACGGAAACGGAGGCUGAGGCGCGAAAGCGGGGGGAGCAAACAGGAUUAGAUACCCGGGUAUACCACGCCGUAAACGAUGAAUACUAGGUGUAGGGGGUAUCGACUCCCUCUGUGCCGCAGGUAACACAAUAAGUAUUCCGCCUGGGGAGUACGGCCGCAAGGUUGAAACUCAAAUGAAUUGACGGGG